rnacentral:lncRNA from 1 species
GACAAUGUUGAUUUUAUGUAAGAUCAAGACAAGAGGAAAAGGAAGAUUAUAGAAUUUCCAGAUGAAGAUAAAUGUCAAAGGAAGAUGAGGCUUCAGACAGAUAAAGACAACAAACAAGUCAUGGGAAGGCCCCAGUGAGAGCUGACUCAGUGAGGGAGACUACACACAUGAGGAAGUGAUAAUUGAGUGUUUCGCAUCCAGCAGGAAAGAACCUAGAAAAAGAGGAGAGAAAAGGAAAUGUAUUAUAAAAUCUCAACAAGUUGUCUAACCCAAGAACCCAAGACAAAUUUUGACAGCUUUGUUGGCUUCAGUUUCUAGCAUUAUUUUUAUUGGUUGAAUUAGGUACAAGUAGCUCUAUGGGUAGCAAAAGCCCACAGGUGAUAGAG